AACGUACGCUGGCGGCACGCUUAACACAUGCAAGUCGAACGAAGUAGCAAUACUUAGUGGCAGGCGGGUGAGUAACAUGUGGGUAUCUGCCCUUUGGCCUGGAAUAACACGAGGAAACUUGUGCUAAUACCGGAUAAGUCUUUACGGAGAAAGCUUUAUGCACCAUUGGAUGAGCCCGCACUUGAUUAGUUUGUUGGUGGGGUAAUGGCCUACCAAGACUGUGAUCAAUAGCUGAUUUGAGAGGAUGAUCAGCCACAUUGGGACUGAGACACGGCCCAAACUCCUACGGGAGGCAGCAGUGGGGAAUCUUGCACAAUGGAGGAAACUCUGAUGCAGCGAUGCCGCGUGAGUGAAGAAGGCCCUUGGGUUGUAAAGCUCUUUCGUCGGGGAAGAAAAUGACUGUACCCGAAUAAGAAGGUCCGGCUAACUUCGUGCCAGCAGCCGCGGUAAUACGAAGGGACCUAGCGUAGUUCGGAAUUACUGGGCUUAAAGAGUUCGUAGGUGGUUGAAAAAGUUAGUGGUGAAAUCCCAGAGCUUAACUCUGGAGCUGCCAUUAAAACUUUUCAGCUAGAGUAUGAUAGAGGAAAGCAGAAUUUCUAGUGUAGAGGUGAAAUUCGUAGAUAUUAGAAAGAAUACCAAUUGCGAAGGCAGCUUUCUGGAUCAUUACUGACACUGAGGAACGAAAGCAUGGGUAGCGAAGAGGAUUAGAUACCCUCGUAGUCCAUGCCGUAAACGAUGUGUGUUAGACGUUGGAAAUUUAUUUUCAGUGUCGCAGCGAAAGCGAUAAACACACCGCCUGGGGAGUACGACCGCAAGGUUAAAACUCAAAUGAAUUGACGGGGACCCGCACAAGUAGUGGAGCAUGUGGUUUAAUUCGAAGAUACGCGCAGAACCUUACCAACACUUGACAUGUUCGUCGCGACUCUAAGAGAUUAGAGUUUUCGGUUCGGCCGGACGAAACACAGGUGCUGCAUGGCUGUCGUCAGCUCGUGUCGUGAGAUGUUGGGUUAAGUCCCGCAACGAGCGCAACCCUCACUUUUAGUUGCCAUCAUUAAGUUGGGCACUCUGAAAGAACUGCCAGUGAUAAGCUGGAGGAAGGUGGGGAUGACGUCAAGUCCUCAUGGCCCUUACGUGUUGGGCUACACACGUGCUACAAUGGUAUCUACAACAGGAAGCAAGACUGCGAAGUCAAGCAAAUCCUUAAAAGAUACCUCAGUUCGGAUUGCACUCUGCAACUCGAGUGCAUGAAGCUGGAAUUACUAGUAAUCGUGGAUCAGCGUGCCACGGUGAAUGCGUUCCCGGGUCU
rnacentral:rRNA from 1 species